rnacentral:lncRNA from 1 species
UCACUCAUAGAUAAAAUGCUAGGAUCAUAUAUGAUCAUUUGGAUACUUAUGAAACAUACACAUAAAGGAGAACUGAUUAAGGUGGUUUAUCCAAUAUCACGUGUCACAACUUCAUAACAUAGAGUUAUCCUAAUCAAAGUGUUUUGCAGCGGAAAACGUGUGAGAUAUACAUAUGAAGAUGUAUACUCAAGGUUACAUUUCUUGAAAUGAUCAAAGGAACACCCGCUCAACACCAUUCCAUUCCAUCAGCUGCUCAACCUGCACAUUUAGAAAUACAUGCAGGGCUGAGUAUAAAAAUACUCAGUGGACAAAUGCCGAAAAAAAUACAAUCAUGCAUACAUAUAUAAAUUGAACUGCCAUAACAGUAACACACAGGGGUUUUCUUGAAAGACCUGCGCUUACUAAAACAUUUCUUUCAUUUUCAUAAGAUUGGCCGGCCGACCCAUUUUCCUUCAUAUGAUCCAUAUCUGUUCCUUUCUGUCAUGCGCCGGGAAGGAGGCCUCCUUACCACGGACGCCAAGACCGGUCGCAAGCGACUCGCGGUCUCCAUGAGUGUACACGUUAACCCUAGCUAGCGACCUUUGUCUAGCAUAGGAUCCCAAUUGAAUUUCCUUUAAAGUUGGCGAACCAACACAGAUAGGAUUCAUAUAAAAACAUAAACAUUUUUGGCAGUCAAUCAUUUCAUAAACAUUUCGUUUCAUAAGAGCCAUUUUCAUUUUCAUUUCAUAAGAGUCAUUUAUCAUUUGGGCUUAAUAAUAAACUAAAAUUAACAGUUAAAAUCAUCUCAUGCAUAUAUUCGUAUAAGAGGCCUACAACACGCAGGGGAUCUCUAUAUACGUAUAGUAAAAGUAAUGCCCACCNAUCUGACAUCAAGGAUCGUAUCACAAAAUAAGUUUUAAAGAGCUUAUAAGUUGUAAAAUUAAGCUCUAAGAGCUUGUAAACUCCCCAAAAAUAAGUUGCUCCACCCCAACUUAUUUUGUCACAUCCCGCUACCCUUAAUGACGGUUUAGCCGGGAUUAUGACUUGGGAUGAGACUUAAUGAGUGGGAACAGAAAUGGACAAUUACUUAACAUUAAAGUAUAUGGAAAUGUCACUUAUAGAUAAAAUGUUAGGAUCAUAUAUGAUCAUUUGGAUACUUAUAAAACAUACACAUAAAUGAGAACUGAUUAAGGUGGGUUACCCAAUAACACGUGUCACAAUUUCAUAACAUAGAGUUAUCCUAAUCAGAGUGUUUGCAGCGAAAAACGUGUGAGUUAUGCAUAUGGAGAUGUAUACUCAAGGUUUCAUUCUUGACAUGAUAAGGGAACUCCGCUCAACACCGUUCCAUUCCAUCAGCUGCUCAACCUGCACAUUUAGAAAUACAUGCAGGGCUGAGUAUAAAAAUACUCAGUGGACAUAUGCCGAAAAUACAAUCAUGCAUACAUAUAUAUAAAUUGAACUGCCAUAACAGUAACACACAGGGGUUUUCUUGAAAGACUUGCGCUUACUAAAAUAUUUCUUUCAUUUUCAUAAGAUUGGCCGGCCGACCCAUUUUCCUUCAUAUGAUCCAUAUCUGUUCCUUUCUGUCACGCGCCGGGAAGGAGGCCUCCUUACCACGGACGCUAAGACCGGUCGCAAGCGACUCGCGGUCUCAAUGAGUGUACACGUUAACCCUAGCUAGCGACCUUUGUCUAGCAUAGGAUCCCAAUUGGAUUUCCUUUAAAGUUGGCGAACCAACAAAGAUAGGAUACAUACGUAAAACAUAAACAUUUUUGGUAGUCAAUCAUUUCAUAAACAUUUCAUUUCAUUUCAUUUCAUAAACAUUCCAUUUUCAUUUCAUAAGAGUCAUUUAUCAUUUGGGCAUAAUAAUAAACUGAAAUUAACAGUUAAAAUCAUCUCAUGCAUAUAUUCGUAUAAGAGGCCUACGACACGCAGGGGAUCUCUAUAUACGUAUAGUAAAAGUAAUGCCCACCUCAAACGUUCUUAAGCUAGCGUGGAGUCGCUUCUUCUUCGGCUUCACUUCCUGUCGCCCGGACCUUUAUUGAUGAAGAGUCGGUAAGUUCGUGAAGAAAAUUGUCACAAGACAAAGUCUAAUUCUACGUGCCUAGGGUAUCUUUUAGUGUUUUAGGGUUCUAGCAUCCAUAAUUCAUUUCGAUUAAAACAAUCAAAAACCAACAUAACAAACGAUAACCACAUAAUAUCACGUAACCACAUAACAAACAAAAUAAAAGAAUUCAACAUCCUUAAACUUAAUAUCAUUUAGAAAUUCACAUGUUCACAUAAGAGAUAAUAAUCAUGCACCGUCUUAUAACAUUCUAUACAUUUCAUUUCCAUGUAAAUGAAUACGAAAUUCCAUUAUUCAUUUAUAAAUGACUUAAAUAAGCAUUUUAAACUCCAUUAAAAUGGAAUUGAUUUAAAACAUUUUAAUCCUUUUAAAAUCCAUACUCAUAAAGCCUUAACUCAUGCUCUAUCUCAUAUUCUAUCUCUUUACUCAACUCUAUAUAAACUCUCCACUCAUCUCAAAUCCUUAAGUUCAAGGAUAGGUUUCAAGAAAAUCAUGGUACUAAGUCUCGAUUUAUCUCUCAUAUAAGGCUCGUCUAAUCUCAUUCAACACAUAGACAACACAAUCACAUAAGGCACAUAAGAAAACACAAUCAAACAUUAUCAAAACAUGCUCUGUUUUUACACUGACUCAACUUCAAAAUCUAACCUGUUCUUACUCCGACACCUCCUGGACUCGAGACUCAUACCAAAAGAAAGGUCUUCGAGUCUAGUUUCAUAUAAAAAAAAGUAGAGUCAAAAACUCCAAGUAUUGUAGGAGAUAUGACUGUUUUACUACAGUCUACCAUAUUCGGCAGUUUUGAGCAAUCGAAAACUUGGAUUUUUGAAAAAUAGUAAGUGUUGUCAAACUGGGCUCAAAUUUUGUGGAUAUCUAGCUAACACAAUAAGGUUAAUACCAUAAAAUUUUGGAAAGCUAGAUCACACAGGAAGCUACUGAAAUGAAUGACUCUUUCCCCUGCUCUCUGAAACUCUCGGUAGUAAUGUGCAGUUUCGGUUUUGUAUUUUAUAAAAAUAGUAAACGAAGUCCAAAUGACUUGAAAUUUUGCCGGUGUGCUUAAGACUCUCAAAUAUACUUACCAUAAAAUUUUGAUGGUGUUUAGGUAUCAAAAACCCCUCGAAACAGUAGGUCAGUGCAUGACGAAAAUGACUCCGAACUCCAUCACACAAGCAAACAUGCUCAACUCAACAUUUCUUCAAAGCAAACUCAUCAAAGCUCAUUUUAAACACUUAUAGCAUUCAAAAAAACAUUCAAGUACAACAUAAUACUCAUCAUACUCAAACAUGAUCUCAUACACCACAUAACUCAUUAUACACAUAUAGAUACACAUAUAUGUCAUCUUCUUCCUCAAACUAACACUUUUCAUUUCAUUCAAAAUUCACAAUUUAAUCAUGCCAUAGUCCUUUAUAAAGUCCAAUUAGCAUAUAGACAUCAUUAAUCCAAACAUUGAUCUCAUAAUUCAAAAAUACCCAAAUCCUAGUAAACUAAACUCAAGCAAUUUCACAUAUAAUCAACAAUUAGCGAAAUUAACCUUUAACUAUCAUUACUAUCAUGCUCAAUAUCAAUUAUCCUUAGCCAAUUCAAAUAAUUAGCACAUAAAUCAAAAAGCCCUAUUUUAUAUCUAACUAAACUUUUUGAAAAUUUACAAACAUGCAUAAAUCAUUAAUCCAACCUUAGAUUAAUCAAAUUGAGUCAUUUAAUAGCACAUAUAAGACAUCAAUUCAUCAAAUCUCAUCAUCAAUCAAAACUUCCCAAAUUUUAGCAAACUAAACUCUUUGAAAAUUCAAAAUCCUUUCUAAUCCUUUUAAAAACUCAUGGAUAUCAACUCAAUAGGUUCUCAAUUAUAUAUAUCUUAAGCCAAUUCACUUAAUAAACACAUAGACAAGAAAGUCCUAAUUUUUAUUAAACUAAACUCUUUGAAAUUUUAUAAACACACAUGACACUUUGAUCCAAUCAUUGAUCUACCAAUUUUAACCUUUUAAACUCACAUAUAAACCAUCAAUUAGCAAUUUAGGGCAUAGAUACACAUAUCCCUAAUUUUAUUAAACUAACUCAUAUCAAAAUCAUCAAUUGACAUCAUAUACUCAAUUUACUCCAUCAAUCAUCAUCAUAUACAUCUCAUGGACUCAUCUUCAUCAUCAAUCCAUCAUUUUAAUCAUCAACUCACAAUUUCCCAAUUUUUGGGUAAACUAAACUCAAUCGACUUUCACAUCUCAAAGCAUAUACUUUCACAACACACAUCAAUCAUCAACAAACACCACAUAGAUCUCAUUUUUCACCCCAAAUCAAAGAAAGAAAAAGAAAAUUUUUGAAGGGUAAAGACCCAUUUUUUUCGAAAAUUUUAAGAACAAGGGAGGGGUGAUUUUCUUGCUUCAAUCUUUCAAGAAUACUCACAUACAACAUCAUUCAAGCAAGAUUUAUGGAAUACAUGGUCACUUACCCAAAUUUCUUACCAAGAUUCACACUUUCUCACUCUAGCUUUG